rnacentral:lncRNA from 1 species
CUAUAGGUAUAAUCAUUAUAAUCUAUUGUUUUUACUAUUUGUUCGAAUGGGCUUUCUAUUUGUAUUUUGUUAAUCUUAUUUUUUCCUGUUAUUUUAUGUUUUGUUGUUAAUACAUAUAGAUUUUUACAUCUUGCUGUAAAUAUUUUACUUCCUGGGGUUAACUCUAUUCCUGAUAUUUUCCAAUAUAAUACUAAUGAUUUAUCUAUAUUCCUAUCUGUUACUGCUACUGAAUAAUUUGCACUUAUUAUAAAUUUAAAUUUUUGGUAUAUUAGAUUUCCUUUUACGGCAGUUAUUAUGCUUUUUUCUAUAGGUUUUAUAAUUCUAUCGUCUGCUAAUACAUAUAGAUUUUUGCAUCUUGCUGUAAAUAUUUUACUUCCUGGGGUUAAUUCUAUUCCUGAUAUUUUUCAAUAUAAUACGAGUGAUUUAUCUAUAUUUUUAUCUAUUACCGUUAC